rnacentral:lncRNA from 1 species
CGGGAGAGCGCCUGGCCAGCAUAGAAGGCUUUGGGGUUCCCUUCCAACACCUCUGUCACCAGUACAACACAGAAAUCCAGGGCUAGGGAGAUGGCUGCACCCACAAGCAUUUGCCAUACAACCACAAGGACCGAUGGAUCUCUGGUACCCGUGAGCUAUGAGAGCUGUGGUGUGAGCUUGCAGUCCCUUAGCUAGGAAGGCAGAGGCAGAGGGAUGGAUCUGUGGGACCGGCUGGCCAACCAGUCCAGCAGCCAGGGAGCUCCAGUUCACUGAAAGACUGUCUCAAAGGCCACUUGGAUACUCCAGAGGAUUUAACCACCACGUGAAGCAGGGUAGGUACGGUGUCAGCUUGCUACAAGCUAGCAUCAUCUGGGAAGAGAACUGCAGUGAAGAAUUGUCUGUACGGUGCUAGCUUGUGGACAUGUCUGUGGGGGAUUGUCUUAACUAUGGUAAUUACAUUAGCUGACAUGGGAAGACGCAGCCCGCAGCAGGCACAAGCAAGCAAGCAAGCAAGCAAGCAAGCAAGCAAGCAAGCAAGCGUGCAGGGAGCAUGCGGUCAUCCUCUAUGCUCUUGACUGUGGAUCUGACUAGCUGCUUCAAGCUCCGGCCUCGGGAACUGACCUGGCAUUGUGGAUUAUAAUUUGGAACCUUAGUUUGCUUUCGCCAGGAUACUUUAUCUCAAUAACAGAAACUAGGAAAGACACACAUCAUCCUACAAGGGACCAGUAGGCCGGAGCCUCGUGCAGGCUCUGCCACUGGGCCUUACUGCCAGUUACUGUACCCUGCCUGCUGUCAGAGUUGCUUGAUAACCCUCGUUAAGGAACUACAUUUCGGCUGCUGGGCGCAUGGUGCGUGCGGCUGCUGUGCGUAUGCUCAAGUGCGCGAGGAGGAACCUUGGUGGUUCUCUUCCACUCAUCCUGUUCCGACAUGGGCUCACGCAACACGUGGGAUCAGGGUUCCCCCAGGAAGUCAACUUUUUCAAUUGGUCACCCAAAUUCGCACAUCUUCUCUGUCCUGAGCACGUGGGAAAUAAGCCAGUCUCCCAGCGGAUAUAGGCGCUAUGGUUGUCCUCAUUUUACCGACUAUGGAGAGGUUAAGUAACCCACUCAAAGCCGCACAGCUGGCCUGGUGGGAGGGCUUUUAAAACGACAAUUCACCAGAACCCAUCUGGUUCUGCAAAACUGGCCAAACUCCCGGGAGCUGUUUUCAAAAGGCGCCCAUUCAGCCAGCCUGGGCAUCAGGGCCUGGGGACUUGUAAUGCCAGACAGUGAUUCUAAAAAGCAGCUGAGACUUGGGGGAACCCUGGCUGGUGGCUUUCUUUAGAUGGCCAUAAGGAUUUUCUCCACAGGACUCAAGUGACAAAGGAAAACAAACCUACCUACUACCACUUCCUGUUUAGAGGAGAGAAGAGAGAUCUUCAUGGACGCAUGUUAUGGAAAUUUCCAAGCACACGAACGUUCUCAGAGCUGAG